AUUGAACGCUGGCGGCAUGCCUUACACACGCAAGUCGAACGGUAACAGGUCUUCGGAUGCUGACGAGUGGCGAACGGGUGAGUAAUACAUCGGAACGUGCCUAGUAGUGGGGGAUAACUACUCGAAAGAGUGGCUAAUACCGCAUGAGAUCUACGGAUGAAAGCAGGGGAUCGCAAGACCUUGUGCUACUAGAGCGGCCGAUGGCAGAUUAGGUAGUUGGUGGGAUAAAAGCUUACCAAGCCGACGAUCUGUAGCUGGUCUGAGAGGACGAUCAGCCACACUGGGACGGAGACACGGCCCAGACUCCUACGGGAGGCAGCGGUGGGGAAUUUUGGACAAUGGGCGAAAGCCUGAUCCAGCAAUGCCGCGUGCAGGAUGAAGGCCUUCGGGUUGUAAACUGCUUUUGUACGGAACGAAAAGCCCCGGGUUAAUACCCUGGGGUCAUGACGGUACCGUAAGAAUAAGCACCGGCUAACUACGUGCCAGCCGCCGCGGUAA
rnacentral:rRNA from 1 species